rnacentral:rRNA from 1 species
GACGAACGCUGGCGGCGUGCCUAAUACAUGCAAGUUGAGCGCUGAAGGUUGGUACUUGUGCCAACUGGAUGAGCAGCGAACGGGUGAGUAACGCGUGGGGAAUCUGCCUUUGAGCGGGGGACAACAUUUGGAAACGAAUGCUAAUACCGCAUAAAAACUUUAAACACAAGUUUUAAGGUUGAAAGAUGCAAUUGCAUCACUCAAAGAUGAUCCCGCGUUGUAUUAGCUAGUUGGUGAGGUAAAGGCUCACCAAGGCGAUGAUACGUAGCCGACCUGAGAGGGUGAUCGGCCACAUUGGGACUGAGACACGGCCCAAACUCCUACGGGAGGCAGCAGUAGGGAAUCUUCGGCAAUGGACGAAAGUCUGACCGAGCAACGCCGCGUGAGUGAAGAAGGUUUUCGGAUCGUAAAACUCUGUUGGUAGAGAAGAACGUUGGUGAGAGUGGAAAGCUCAUCAAGUGACGGUAACUACCCAGAAAGGGACGGCUAACUACGUG